AUCCAGCUGACGAAUCCCAAAUAGGAUGAAGCGCGCGAUCUGGAU
rnacentral:hammerhead_ribozyme from 1 species